GACGAACGCUGGCGGCGUGCCUAAUACAUGCAAGUUGAGCGAUGAAGAUUGGUGCUUGCACCAAUUUGAAGAGCAGCGAACGGGUGAGUAACGCGUGGGGAAUCUGCCUUUGAGCGGGGGACAACAUUUGGAAACGAAUGCUAAUACCGCAUAAUAACUUUAAACAUAAGUUUUAAGUUUGAAAGAUGCAAUUGCAUCACUCAAAGAUGAUCCCGCGUUGUAUUAGCUAGUUGGUGAGGUAAAGGCUCACCAAGGCGAUGAUACAUAGCCGACCUGAGAGGGUGAUCGGCCACAUUGGGACUGAGACACGGCCAAAACGCCUACGGGAGGCAGCAGUAGGGAAUCUUCGGCAAUGGACGAAAGUCUGACCGAGCAACGCCGCGUGAGUGAAGAAGGGUUUCGGAUCGUAAAACUCUGUUGGUAGAGAAGAACGUUGGUGAGAGUGGAAAGCUCAUCAAGUGACGGUAACUACCCAGAAAGGGACGGCUAACUACGUG
rnacentral:rRNA from 1 species